ACAGCCUUUCAACAUUCACAAAAUGAUCUGGCUCGAGACAUCACUUCCUGCUGUGGAACACCGUUAUCAACAGACUUAUUUAGACUUCACCGACCAAGACUGCUGAGGGAAUUAUUUAUCCCAGAGAAAAACAAAUGUCAAGCUCUCUUCUCAAAUAACCAAAUGGAGGAGAAUGCUGUCCUUGCCGCAAAACAUUGGAGCCCUUAGGAAAUAAAGAAUGCCUCUUGGUUGCCUGUAUCAGUUUGAAUAGAUCUACCACAUUUGCAAACCAAAAACACAAGUUGCAGGUUACCCGCAUCAGGGCGGAUCUUAAGGGCCAUUCAUGCAAGACCUGUGCUUGUGUAACGACUACCUGCUGCCUGCAGUUGUCUCGAUUUUGACAGACUUCUAGAGCCACCAUGAGGUUUACGUUUGCGAUGUACCCACAUGACGACAUGUUCAAACACAGCUGCAGUGUGGGGCCAGAGGCCAGUCGAUCAGCCUGCCAAUGUGACGCAAACCUGCUGGCUGUUAGGUAAUAUCAGCCAGAGCGAUGCAUGCUGUUGCUUAGCAAGAUCACUCGCCUCAAUAUCACAGAUCUGAGGUUUUUUUUAACAAUGGAAACAAGAGUCCAGGCGUUCAUCUGGAAAAUUGCCACUGAGUCAGCACAGAUCAGUAACGUCCCCACAAAGAGGAGA